GACGAACGCUGGCGGCGUGCCUAAUACAUGCAAGUCGAACGGAGCGGGGGACGGGUGAGUAAGGCCUAGGUAUCUGCCUGUUAGUGGGGGAUCCCGUAAGGAAACGGGCGCCAAUGCCGCAUCCUAUCAACUGAGCCUAGGUCGGAUUAGCUAGUUGGUGGGGUAAAGGCCUACCAAGGCGACGAUCCGUAGCCGGCCUGAGAGGAUGAUCAGUCACACUGGGACUGAGACACGGCCCAGACUCCUACGGGAGGCAGCAGUGGGGAAUAUUGGACAAUGGGCGAAAGCCUGAUCGAGCCAUGCCGCGUGUGUGAAGAAGGUCUUCGGAUUGUAAAGCACUGUAGGUAGGGAAGCGGUACCAACAGAAUAAGCACCGGCUAACUACGUGCCAGCAGCCGCGGUAAUUC
rnacentral:rRNA from 1 species